CAACGCCGGCCACCUGGCUGCUGGGCUUUGCCCGCCUGGGCCCGGGGGAACGGCCGCGGCGGCUCCAGCGGGCGGGCAUCUUCCUGCAAAGGGUGUGUCCCACCUCUUUUUCACCAUAGCUGCUUACUGCCAUAAAACAGAAUUCUGUGUAUUGCUGCAAAUGCCAAUAGAGAUGCAUUGUCAUAUAUAGGAUAGAUAAAACUAGCUAUGGAGUUGGAACAACAAACAGAAGAAAAGAAAAGGUGGCUGGCCUAAAGGGAAGAAAAGGAAACCUCCAAAGGAAUUUUCAGCUCCUCGUGCCCCUACAACAGGGUAUGUAAUAUUCCUGAAUGAGCGGAGAAUUAAAACGAAGGCCGAACGUCCAGAUUUGCCUUUUACUGAAAUAACCAAGAUGCUGGCUGCUCAAUGGUCUCAACUUUCUCAAGCAGGAAAGCAAGAACAAUAUCUAUAGGAAGUAGAUCUUAGAAUGAAGCUCUUGCUUUGUCAACAAUAGAUAGAGAUGAAAGCAAUGACCUGUAUUGUCGGACAUGUAACCAGUUUUUCAGCUCUUUUCAUAACAAGAAAGAACACCUUAUGGGAAAGCAACACUUACAGAAUUUAACAGGAGAGUUUGAAAAAGAAACUGCUGAGUUCUCUAAACAUCAGAAACUGCAAGAAGAAAAGGAGGAAAAAGAUGAGUCAGAAGAAGAAAUUGACUCUACAGAUCUGUUUCAGUUUGGGGGCCUGACCUCCCAGAAGAACUUUGCGUCAUCUGAUUUUUGUUUUUUGCAGGCGUUUAUCUUCAGACUUCUGAAAUUUAGAGAGUUUGAACUUUGUGAACUAAAAAGAAGUUUGACAAAGGCAUAUGAAGAACAGGAAAGUUUAAAAAAGCAGUUGGAGGAUCUAAAGAAUCAGCAGUUGAAGUUGGAAACGGAUUUUGCAUCCAUAAAGGCAUAUAGCGGUACUUUAGAAAAAGAGUUUGAAAAUUUAAAUAUGGUUCCAAUGCUCUUCCAGUUUCAUCUGCAAAUAGUGGACACUAGGCUGCAGAGCGCUGGGACCAGGCCAGGAGCAGAGCCCUGGGCUGGCUGCCGGUACCCUAGGCUGGCAGGGGGGCUGAGCAGGACUGGAGGCCCGGACCCUAACUGGCAAGGGGCUGGGUGGCUGGAACCCCAGACCAGCAGCGAGAAUACUUCGCACAAACAAGCGGAAGGUGUUUGUUGUUGUAUCAGAUAUGAAAAUGUGAAAAGUUCCUUUGCACUAGUCCUGCCUCCGAUGACCAGAAAUGAUACAAAUAUCAGAUGGCAGAUCCUCAGCUGGUGUAAAUGGUCAGACCUGUUGUCUGCUGGAGAUAAGAUAAUUUAUACUAGUUGCAGAUCUUCCCCCAGGAUGUGUGAGAGAGGAGGGAAUGCAGCUGGGAGGCAACUAGAGAGGGAGCUUAAGAGAUUUUGUGGGAGGGAAUCUACAACUGGGAUAAGGAUGGAGUGAGGAACCUGAAUUUCAGAGGCAGCUGGGGAGGAAUUUGAGGCAAUCUUGUGAUGAAAGUAGAUGUGAGAGAAACUGGGAGACUUUUCAAAAGACAGGAGGGAGUCUGCAUCUGGGGGAAGAGGUUUGGGGACCUCUGCAUAGUCUGGAAUCAGGAUCAUUGGAGAGGUAGGUGAGAAGGAUGACCCAGGACACUUGUAGGUGGGAGGGUGCAGAGGCAGUGCAGUGAAAGAGCCAUAAGAACAUGUGGAUGGAGUCAGGAGACAGUUGGAAGUGGAAAUAGAUAAUAGAGGCAGGAAGCAAUUUCUCAGUUCUUGCUUCACAAUCAGGAGAACACAUUUUUGGAAAUGUGUAUUGAAGGGAGACAACACUGUCACAGGGAAGUGCUGGAAAAUAAAAAAUAGUUUUAAAGAAACCAUUCUGGCUACAGUUUCAGGCAGUGGGAGAAAGGUAGUAAGUGUCUGUAAUCUCCACAGCAACUAGACUCAGCUAAGAGAGCACACUAAAAAACCCCUCAUAUCUAGAUGGACAGAAGGAAAAACAAGAUAUUUUAAAAGGUAUCGGAAAUUCAAAGUACUAUGAGAAUUACGGGUCAUCUCCUACAAGUGCUGAUUUAGUACCACCUCCUCAGCAGCUUUGGCUAGUGGUGCUCCAGCUAUUAACUAAAGCUGCCUCCCACUUUGGGCAAAAUUUCCGAGGGAAUGAGGUGGCAAGAACACCUGCACUCAUUCAGGUGUGUGUAGCUGAAUGAUAUGAAAGAAUAAUUUGUAAUUGGUUAAAUUCUACAUCUUGAAGGCUUACAGAAUGUUGAAAGUAUCCAUUUGUAUGCUUGGGUAUUGCAUAUUAAGUGCAUAGGGUACAAUAUAUGAUGGGUCUAGAGUAUGUUAAUCUUCAAUUUCUGUUGCUUUCUCUGCAAUGAGACAAGUAGUCAUCCAGUUUUUCAUCAACUCUUUUCUCUCUCACCAUAGCAACACAUGCAUAAAACAAUCUGACCUUGUUGUAGAAGAGUGGUUUUGUCAUUGAAGAACAUUCAUAAACCAAUAUACCCUUUUAGCUAGUGCUGUAAAUUACACUCCUCUGCUCUGAAGUUUGAAAAUAAAAAUAGCUAGGAUGGAAAAGAUGAGUGUGAUGAUAUGGUCUUCUAGGUUCUUGCAAAAGUCUUUACCAGGAUGGCGAAUAUAGGCAUUUGAGGGAAGAAUAAAUCAGGAAGCUUGUUUGUUCACAGAGUUCCUGAUGGAUGAAAGGCUCAGAAUGUACAGUGUACAUCUUCUGGGCCCUUUUUUCAUGUUAUAUUCAGCAGAAAGUAUUUGUGAAGCUUUGCUCCUAUAUACCCUUUUGGGGGAAGCAUGAGUUGAAGGAGAGUGCAGUCAGGUUCUACUUUCAUAGGACUUGUAGAAAUUACUACAUGAUGGAAAACUGAAGGUACAACUUCUGGGAUGGAUUCUGCUCAUUGAAAACCCACAAGAACAUUUGAUGUGACAUGUAAAUAUGAAGCAUAAAAUUGUGAUUUGCUUUCAGCCCAGCUGUAAAGAUGAAGGAUGUUCUUUAAAAUCUAUAAAAAGAACAGGAGUACUUGUGGCACCUUAGAGACUAACAAAUUUAU